CCCCCGCAUUAUUAGUUUAAAUUAAUGUUUUGAAUUUUAUAAAAUUCAAAACAUGUAAAAUUAAAAAAUAUAAUGUAGCAAUAAGUUUUGUAUUGCUAUGCCAUCUAUGUGUUGUAUACCAAAAUAAUAGUGGCCUGCAACAAUAAAGUAAGUUUAGCGGAAGCUGCACAAUAAGGGGAAAGCCUGUCACUAAUGCUAAACAUGCACAGUAAGAUAAAAAUCUGUUAUCACAACAAUAGGAAAUAAAAAAUGACAAGGAAUGCAAGCAUUGGGAGAAGCUUUGAGCUUUGCAAAGUGCUGUAUAUGAAGGAAGGUACCUAAAGGUUAACAUCUAUUUCAAAUGAUAUCAAAAAUUAACUUUGAAUAUGGGUGUAAAAACACUGGCAACCAGCUUGUAUGCCAAUAUAUAAAAGUCUCAUUGACCCAUGUUUCAGUGUAUGCUGAUGUAGCUUCUAAAAUGUGAGAGGGCAAGGAAAUUAGACGUUACAGUAUUUUUUACAAACUAAUCUGGCUUUAGUCUAUAUACUACAAGAAGUAAUAAGAAAAAUCAAUUUCAGAAGAUUACCAAUCCUUUCAUCCUGGCAUCUUUCAAAAACUCUUAAAAGUGAAUUUGGCAUUGACAGAUACUAAAUGGCGAUAAUUAUGUUAUAUCAGCAAAACGAGUAAUGAACAGUUUUAGUCUUCAACGAUUGAAAUUACUCAGCAAACAUGAAUUCAUUGAAGAAACUGAUUGUCGUUGCUCUAGCAUAAUCGUUGCACGAUCGUUGCACGAUCGACCUGAUAAAAGAUGAAAUUACUUAUAUAUGUGAUUAAUUAAAAAAAGACAAUUAGUUUGUAAAUAAUCAGGUGAAUGGUAGCCUUUAUUAUAUGGCUGGUUGUGUUCAGCACAGGAUGUUGUGCAUAGUUAAUAUCAGUUUUUCAGUUCCAAAAUUAAAAAUUAUGUUUCACAUAGUAAAUUGGGUUUUCUUACUCUUUUGCAUUUUAUUCGUUUUUGUUAUAUAUUAUUUAACAGUGCUCCAAAAUAUGAAAAAACGUUUUUAUUUGUAA
rnacentral:lncRNA from 1 species